rnacentral:rRNA from 1 species
GACGAAGGGGGCUAGCGUUGUUCGGAAUUACUGGGCGUAAAGCGCACGUAGGCGGAUUGCUAAGUCAGGGGUGAAAUCCUGGAGCUCAACUCCAGAACUGCCUUUGAUACUGGCGACCUUGAGUCCGGGAGAGGUGAGUGGAACUGCGAGUGUAGAGGUGAAAUUCGUAGAUAUUCGCAAGAACACCAGUGGCGAAGGCGGCUCACUGGCCCGGUACUGACGCUGAGGUGCGAAAGCGUGGGGAGCAAACAGG